rfam:Candidatus Liptonbacteria bacterium RIFCSPLOWO2_01_FTLL_45_15 rifcsplowo2_01_scaffold_41754, whole genome shotgun sequence.
GGAGGGUUCGCAUAGUGGUCUAGUGCACUGUCUUGGAAAGGCAGCAAGGCGCAAGCCUUCGAGAGUUCGAAUCUCUCACCCUCCG